rnacentral:lncRNA from 1 species
AUGCCAGUUCUACAUAGAAAACACACAGAUGAAAAUGGAAACAGUGAAGCAAGUCAAACCCCAGGGAGAAGCAUAAGGAAGGAGUUGUUCCCAAAAGAAGUUCCUACUGGGACUAUGUUGUGUCAGUGGAUGGUGAGCUUCGCAAUCCUGCCCAAGGGGAGGAGUGAAAUGAGCUUCACAUCACUUUGGACAUGCCAAAAUCUGAAUUUCUAAUGGAUCAUGUACUCACAUCUUGCUGAUACAGGCUUGAGAUGUAUGCUAUAGGAAGUGUAAGUGUAUGAACGUAAGUGUAGGAUGGAUGAAUGUAGUUCACUGCAAGGCACUCGUACUAAUUAGUGAAGUUACUACAAGAAGCUAUCAAAAGGUAUACAGAUUGUGACAAGAUCAGCAAAGACUUGUAAUUGUGUGCAUACUUUUGUCUGCUUUAUUUAUUUAUUUAUUUAUUUAUUUAUUUUUGUAUAGUAAUUGAUGGAGAAACUGAUUGUCUCCUGAAAACAUUUCUGCAAAUUCUAAUUGUAGCCUACAGUACUGUUAGGUAUGCUCUGGAACUGAAAGCUCAGAAUGUUUGCUUUAACAUUUACUCUGUUGAACCAAAAGACAAAUGUUCUCAUGAAUAGGCAUUUUUUCC